CUGUGACAAGCUUAUACAGGAUGUGCAGUGGAGAGUAUAUUGACUGGUUGCAUCACAGCCAGGUCUGGAAACACCAGGGCCUUUGAACGGAAAAUCAUACAAAAGGUAGUGGAUUCGGCCCAGUACAUCGCGGGUGAAAUCACUGAGCACAUCUACAUGAAACGCUGUCGUAGGAAAGCAGCAUCCAUCAUCAGAGAUCCUCACCAUCCAGGAUGCCUCUCAGCUCGCUGCUGCCAUCAUGUAGAAGAGGGCAAACGUGCACUGCCUACAGAGGGAUGUCGUGUUGAAGGAUGAGAAGAGCCUUCUCCGAAAGACGGAUACCUGGGAUAUCCAUUUGAGAUGUUGCAAGCAGAACAACAUAACAAUCAACAAACAUCCACACCUCUGGAUGAGCAGGAAUAACAUUGAUAACCAGCUGAAUACAAUUUGGACUACAAAUGUGCCCGGAGGAAACCCGCCACCAAACAUCCCAGAUUUGAAAAUUAUCAAAAAAUUACAAUCCAUCUUUCCUUGUACGAAACAACUUGGAGAAUUUUGUCUAAUUCUCAGAUACAUUUUGUUUUAAACUGAGGCUAAAGGAACAGUCACUUUUGCUUCAGUACUGGAGUUCAACUUUGAUCAAAGUUGUAUACAGGUUGAACAAGAAAACUAGCAGAAAUGAAAGUGUGCAUCUUUCCAUAGGUUAUUACUGACUCAAAGGAAAAGUAAACCAAUGACAAUGUCGUCUCCCAGGCCAACAUCUUCAACACUGAAACUCUUAAUUACACACAUAUUGCAUCAGAUGGCAUGCCACAUCAAUCACGUGCCCGACACAUCUCCCAAAAUAAACAUUCCGCUACGAGCUCUGUCAAGAGAAGAGAUGACCAGCUGGACAGUAGAAAAGAUGUAAUGAUAUCCUAAAACCUCCCUGAACUGCUGUUUCAGAAUCCCUGGCUCAGGACCAACUCAAAAUGGAAAAGGAACAUUCAGGAUGUAGAGAUCUCAGUUCUGUAUCUCCUCAUAAGACAAUCUCACCAAGUAAGAAACUCAGCAGCUCCAUGCAAAGAGCUGAGGGAGUGAACCACUUUACAACUACCCACCCAUCUGCCUUGUCAGCCAUCUCUUUAAUGUUUAGAUGUUUAGAAAUACUUCAGAAUGUUAUACAUUUUUGGGGAUUUGAGAUUUUCAUUAAGUAGUUUGCCUUUUUUUUCAGUUUUUAAAGUUUUGCUACGUUGUGCCACAAAUACUACAGGCACUGUAAUUAAGGCCAGCUCUGACUUACUUGGACAAUCAUAAAGACAGCCCUUUCAGAACUGUAGCACCCCUAUACUUCAGUUUGGAUAAGGCUGGAUAAAUUUGCAUUAUGGGCCAAAUUAUGAGCUACUAUGUAUUUGACCAUUAAUUGUGAAUUGAAGAGUGGUGGCACAAAACUAAAUCACAACUAUAUUGUAGUAAUUUAGUAAAAAUGGAAUGGAAAUUUAGUAGCUUAAGCUGUCAGGGAUCUUCCUAAGAUUGCAUUCUUGGCUUGUUGAAUAAUGUAUUUUAUCAGUUCAAUUUUACCUCAUCACCAUGAAGAGAAUUUCUGACAUUGGGUAUAUUCGCUGUUAUUACAUGAAGUGUUAUUGAAAGCAAACUCAGGGCAGCAGAAUCCUUUUUUAACUUGGAGAUUGCUUGUUUAUCUUAACAAAGUGAAUAAA